rnacentral:lncRNA from 1 species
AUUAUCACAUCAGUAGUUAGAGUCUCCCUACCAUAUUCAAUAACAUUUUUGAAAUCUUUGUAUUUAUCACUUAGUGAAUUUAACAAAACCACAACCAGCUGCUCUUUUGAGAGUUUCUCAUUACAGUCAGCUAGGUCAUGGAAUAAUCUGUUGAAUCUAUCAAUGUUAGCAUCAAGAUCAAGAGAUGGGUCCAAUUUGAAACCAAAAAAUUAUUUUAGAAGAUACACUUUAUUAGGCAUGGUUUUAUUCAAAUAAGUAUCUUCCAAUUUUUUCCACAACUCAGCAGCAGUUUUUAUCUCACCAAUUUUUCUCAAAACAUUAUCAGACAAAUGCAAGAAUAUAGAACUCCAUGCAGUUUCAUCAAGUUCAGUUUUCUUAUUUUCUUCCAUAUCAUUAGGCCAUGACUCAUCAAUGGCUUUUGCACAUUUUUGUUGAAGUAAAAGGGCUCGCACUUUCUGGCGCCAGAGACUAAAGUCUCCUUUACCAUUAAAAAUCUCCAAAUCAACUUUAGUUGACAUAAUCAAAACACAAUUUGAUUAAAAACAGUGCAGGCAGAUCAUAGAAAAAGUCAACAAAGUCAAUAGUAUAUACUACUUGCAGGAACUCAAAUGUCAUACACCAUAAUCAAAUUUAAAGUGCAAAGUUAACAAGUGAGUUAUACAGUAAAGGUUAUGCAGUAGAAUCUCAUUAGUUCAUUCACCACAGUAUAGGCUGUUUACUCAAAAAUAGCAGAAUUGUCAAGUCACAGUAACUCGAAAAUAUGGAAUGAACUCACCAAAAUCUCUUAUUAGGGUUUCAAGAAACAAACGAGAUCUACUAAACCAGUGCAAGAACUUUCAGAUCUACCAACAUCGAUUCCAAGAACCACCGUCAACUUGCUCUGAUACCACUGUUACAAGAAGUUCAAGAAAAUCAGCCCCCUUAUACUUAACAAAUAUGCGAAAUAAUAAACAGGAAAUGAAAGAAACAUAAAAAGAAAACACAAAGAACACGAUAUUUUCGCCCUAAGGCAGGAGGUUUGGAACUUUGUUCCUAAUCCCCUUUUGAGCUUCCGUUAAACGGAAGAAAUCACUAUAUCAAUGGAACCAAAAUCUGUCCGAUACAAUCUUCAUAGCACUCAACUGAAAUCACAUAAGAUUUCUCCCAAAAAUAAGCCUCACAUACUGUACAACAUUCACUCAAGAUAGUUUCUACAUAAGCCUUUCUCAUUCGACAAUGGGAUUCACUCAAGAAUAGCACCAAUAUACCUUGCUAAAUCACUCAAGAUUAACUAUACAAGGCUGGAUUAAUUUCCCAUCAACAAGCUAAAUUUUUGGAGUGCAAAACCGGAAGACAAAGGACCACCGAGAGAAAGAGAGAGUUUGAGAGAGAAGAGAGUGAAAAAAAUGAAUUAUAUUGUUUCGUCCAAGCACUAAUGCCAAUUAAUAUAGAAGCAUCUAGAAUUCUCCAUCCAAUGGUGCAUAAUUGGACACUUGGCAAAAUCUGGGCAGCAUCCAUUAAAACCAAUAGAAACAUGUUUCAGCAGAGGGUUUUUGGCAAAGUGAAACAGCAACAUUUAUCAAUUUGGAUCACCCGGCCCACUAACUUAAUAGCAAGUUCAUUC